GUGCUCGCUUCGGCAGCCCAUAUACUAAAAUUGGAACGAUACAGAGAAGAUUAGUAUGGCCCCUAUGCAAGGAUGACACGCAAAUUCGGGAAGCGUUCCUUAUUUUU
rfam:Tupaia chinensis contig2328, whole genome shotgun sequence.